ACGCGUCGUUCUCAAGCUUGGCGUCGUCGUUUUUAACUAUGAUGUAAAGGUCGAAAGCCGCGAGGCGGAAUGAUAAAAGCCCGGGAAACCAGUUGUGCUUGAAAUUAAUCGAUAUCUCGCGGGAGGGAAAAUCUCGGUUGGUAAAAAGUUAUCGCAAUUAUUGCUGUUGCGAGGUCUUUUUCUUUUUCCUUAUUUUUCUCUUUUUAGUUAAAUUCUUUUUCUCUCUCUCUCUCUCUUCGCGACUGAUCCGUGAUUGAAAAUUAUGUGAAAUGAAAGGAUUGAAAUAUCUACGCGCUGGACGCUAAGUGAAAAGUCAAUUGUAUCCUGUUAAGAAACUAACGAACGAAUAAACCUGGUGAUAAUUCUAGCCUGCAGCAAAGACGCAGAAAGUUUUAACGAGGUGAAACAAUAAUUAGAAGUGUUAUUUGAAACCCGCAGGCACCCUUAAUCGUAAACAACCACCUUUUGUAGGAAAGCAGAUUAGCCUCUGAGAUAUGACUCGUUAUUCGCCCUUCGUUCUUGGGAGAAAUUAUGAGGAGAACGCAGAGGGCAAAAUGAUAUCGGGCAUGUAAAUCGUGAGAGU